CAAUUUACAACAGCGGCAGCAGAUUACAAGAGAGCAAGAUAAUUGGUUUAUUGCUGAAAAGAGAAAAUGCGACAUGAAGAGGACUGAAACCAUUGAAGAUGAGAGGCAGACCUGUGGACAACAAUAAAAUGGAAUUUUAUGGGCCGUGUCUGAGUUACUUAUUGGUACAGUAUAAAGGAGCUUUUCAGAAGCACUGGAUUCACAAUGAGGAAAUGCCAGAGUUUCAGAUGUAAUCAGAUCAUCAUUGAUGUCAAAGCAGAUGGAACUAUUCCUUCAGCAUUCAUGACUCAGAGGACAUUUUGUGCAAUGGAGGAGAGUUUAAAGGAGAAGGGAACAAUACUGAUGGGAUUGAUUGAAGAAGAAUGGCAGGAUACUCAAGAAUUCGAACAUGGACUGUGCUGUUACCAUUUUCAUGGAAAUCAUGAAGCUUCACAUAGUUAUAGAUAAUGCUUCUGUUAUGACCAGGGAAACCCCUGUAUACCUGCAUGCCAAAUUGACUGCUUAUUGCACUGUGUUUU